CCCUUAGACGUUCUGGGCCGCACGCGCGCUACACUGACCAGUGCAACAAGCAUCCGUCCUUGGCCGACAGGCCCGGGCAAUCUUUGAACGCUGGUCGUGAUGGGGAUAGACUUUUGCAAUUUUUGGUCUUCAACGAGGAAUUCCUAGUAAACGCAAGUCAUCAGCUUGCAUUGAUUGCGUCCCUGCCCUUUGUACACACCGCCCGUCGCACCUACCGAUUGAAUGGUCCGGUGAAAUCUCGGGACGGCGGCUUGGUCGCUUGCGUCCGACUGCUGAAACUUGAUUAAACCAUAUCAUUUAGAGGAAGGUGAAGUCGUAACA
rnacentral:rRNA from 1 species